rfam:Schistosoma margrebowiei strain Zambia genome assembly, scaffold: SMRZ_scaffold0000991
GCACUACUGCGGAGUCCCAUACUAGGACGAAACGGCCGUCCAGUGC